UACGUAGGGCGCAAGCGUUAUCCGGAAUUAUUGGGCGUAAAGAGCUCGUAGGCGGUUUGUCGCGUCUGCCGUGAAAGUCCGGGGCUCAACUCCGGAUCUGCGGUGGGUACGGGCAGACUAGAGUGAUGUAGGGGAGACUGGAAUUCCUGGUGUAGCGGUGAAAUGCGCAGAUAUCAGGAGGAACACCGGUGGCGAAGGCGGCUUUCUGGACAGUUACCGACGCUGAGGCACGAAAGCUAGGGGAGCAAACAGG
rnacentral:rRNA from 1 species